rnacentral:rRNA from 1 species
UACGGAGGUCCCAAGCGUUGUUCGGAUUCACUGGGCGUAAAGGGUGCGUAGGCGGUCGGGUAAGUCUGGCGUGAAAUCUCCAAGCCUAACUUGGAAACUGCGUUGGAUACUAUCCGGCUCGAGGAAUGGAGGGGAGACUGGAAUACUUGGUGUAGCAGUGAAAUGCGUAGAUAUCAAGUGGAACACCAGUGGCGAAGGCGAGUCUCUGGACAGUUCCUGACGCUGAGGCACGAAAGCCAGGGGAGCAAACGGG